GGUAAAAGUAAGGAGACCCCGUGUUUACGUUUGAGUGACAGACAGAUAUCAGCAGCAGCGGCAGGUAUCUGUCGGCAAACGAACAAGAUAAUAAAGAAGACCAUCAUAUUCUUCCCAAGAAGGAUGACGGUGUCGUUCAGGAAAAAAUUUGUUGCAGGACAAGUCCUCCCCUCGGAGACAUGACCUUGUGAGGACUAAUGCGCUCACUGUGGUCUGUCAGUGGGGAGGAAAUGUGUUUCCAGACCUGCCGAGCCUGAUUACCCCGCUGUGACUUUUGCUUCUGUGAAAGGUCCACUCACCUCUGUGUCCCGCUCGGUCAGCUGGGCUCGCCUAUCUGCCUUUUCCCCCUCGCAUCAUCUCCACGGCGCUCCGCCGGUUCCCCUUCGCUCCUAGCCAAUCAGCCUGCCACCACACUCCUUCCCUCCUCUUCCUCUUGCUUCCCUCGGCCCUCUCGCCUGGACCUAUCCUGCCUCGCCAGCUCCUCGGCCCUUCGUGCCCGCGCCUCCCGGUGUCCAACUCUUCUCCUUCUCCAGCCCCUCAGCUCCCCUUUUUUCCCUCAAUAAAUCAGU